UAGUUGUUUAGACCUCACUGAGGGGGUUUCUGGCCGAGAUUUCAGUGGCGUUGCUGCUCUUCUUGGCCGAGCCGCCAUCUUUCUAAGUCACGUGUCCAAUAUUCAACCUUCCAAGGUUGCCCAUGAUAAGUCAACUAGAAUGCCAUCAAGAUCCCCACCAAUAUGGGUGAUUUCUUUUCUUUUCUUUUUUUUUUUUUUUUAAUAAGAAGCACGUUCCAUAAUAUAGAUGGAGGGAUGGUGGUAGAUAAAUUGUUUUACACGGCACAGUUUAAGACAAUAAAUUACGAUGGAUAAGCCGAUUGAUGGUUGAUACAUGGUGAAUCUUAUUGCCUGAUCCCCGGCACUCAGUGUUCGUACUAGUAACUGCAAGUAUACAUCACGCUCGACUCACAGAAAUGCAACUACACACACAUAUUCUCUAUGAGUAGAAACAUGCCAUUUAUUUAUUUAAUUAUUUCUAUCUUUAUUUUUGGCCAG
rnacentral:sRNA from 2 species